GACGAACGCUGACGGCGUGCUUAACACAUGCAAGUUGAACGAAGUGGCGAACGGGCGAGUAAUACGUGGGUAACCUGCCCUCCUUUUUGGGAUAAGCCUUGGAAACGGGGGCUAAUACCGAAUACAGGGGGAUGGGCUCGCGGCCUAUUAGCUUGUUGGUGGGGGGAUGGCCUACCAAGGCGGUGACGGGUAGCCGGCCUGAGAGGGGGACCGUCAACAUAGGGACUGGGAUACGGCCCAGACGCCUACGGGAGGCAGCAGUGGGGGAUAUUGCACAAUGGGCGAAAGCCCGAUGCCGCGACGCCGCGGGGGGGAUGAAGGCUUCCUGGUUGUAAACCUCUUCAGCUAUCGAACGGGUAAGCGCAGAAGUCACGCCGGCUAACUACGUGACAGCCGCCGCGGUAAUAC
rnacentral:rRNA from 1 species